rnacentral:rRNA from 1 species
AUUGAACGCUGGCGGCAGGCCUAACACAUGCAAGUCGAACGGUAGCACAGAGGAGCUUGCUCCUUGGGUGACGAGUGGCGGACGGGUGAGUAAUGUCUGGGAAACUGCCCGAUGGAGGGGGAUAACUACUGGAAACGGUAGCUAAUACCGCAUAACGUCGCAAGACCAAAGAGGGGGACCUUCGGGCCUCUUGCCAUCGGAUGUGCCCAGAUGGGAUUAGCUAGUAGGUGGGGUAACGGCUCACCUAGGCGACGAUCCCUAGCUAGUCUGAGAGGAUGACCAGCCACACUGGAACUGAGACACGGUCCAGACUCCUACGGGAGGCAGCAGUGGGGAAUAUUGCACAAUGGGCGCAAGCCUGAUGCAGCCAUGCCGCGUGUAUGAAGAAGGCCUUCGGGUUGUAAAGUACUUUCAGCGAGGAGGAAGGCGUUGUGGUUAAUAACCGCAGCGAUUGACGUUACUCGCAGAAGAAGCACCGGCUAACUCCGUG